UCUCAUCCUCGCAGAGUGCUAGGAUUACAGGUGUAAGCCACUAUGCCUGGCCUGAGAAGGUACUAGUAUUAUCUUAAUCAUAUAGAUGAGAAAGCUGAGGUUUGGAGAGGUUAGGUAAUUUGCCCAAGGUACAUAGUUAAUGGGCAACAAGGCUGGGGCCAGGUCUGUCUAGCUCAAAAGCCUGUACUUUGAAUCAAAACCCAAAAGGUUAAAGUCAACAGUGAAAAGAGCUCAUCUGAGCUGGCUGGGUACUAGAGAGGCCUGCAGGACGCAGCCUGGUAACUGGCAGAGGCAGCCAAGCUGCUGGGAGGAAAAGUUCUGACAAAAAGCCAGGUGGGUCAAAGGGAAGGACAAGAUGUUUCAGCCAAGAGCCUGGAAACUUGAGAAUGGCAUCCACUGAGCCAAGAAUCAUGAAAGAGAGAUAAAGCAAGGAGCUAGGUACCUGGAGGAAUUACAGCUCCUCAGUCUCCUGGCAGAUCUUUGAUGAACAUAACCACCCAAUCAGCGUGCUGAAUUUCUCCAACGUCAUAAACAGACCAAUCAAAGCCUACUGACUUGGAAUCUAAAUCUAGUUAAGCUAUUUACUAGCUAUGACCUUGCAUCUAGUGAAGUUCUUCUGUUUCCAAACCUCCACCUGCCAAAAUGCCAACUCUGAAGACUUAGCUCCACUGCCAUCUCCUCCAUGAGGACUUUCUUCAUGCUUCUGAGCUCUCUGCUGAGGUACAAACGCACUUUGAAGACAUGCAGUGAUCACGCACAUGAUAGCUGUGUACAACCCUUAUAUUCCCUACUGGGCUGUGUCCAUGAUUUGCCAAGGUGGGGGAUGAUGGACUGUGUCUUAAUAUUUACCUGUCUAUCCCUUACAGCACCUACUAAGAAACGGUUAUUGCAUUUCUACCUCAGGUAAGAAACUGCUCAAAAGUGAAAUGAAUUGUUAUAUACUUGUUCACAAAUGGAGACACUGCAACAAGUACCCUGUAAUGUGAUCUGACUCUCAGGAUAAAACCAAUCCAUGAUAGAGCUCAAGGAAUGGGACAAGGGCAGGCAGUUUGGGCUAUAUAUUUUGGAGUCAAGAAAUCUGGGAUUGAGGUUCUGCUUUGCCAUUCGCUAGCUAUGGGCUUGACACCAGGUGGUUCUUCUUUGAGUGUCAUUUCCUUCCUUCUGCACAGCCUCACGGGAUGAAGAAAAAAAUGAGACCCAUUUGUGAAUGCUAUAUCAGUGAUUCUCAAUCCCAAUUAUGCAUCAUAAUCUCCUGUAAAGCUUCGGAAAAAUACAGAGGACAAGGACCCAGCCCAGGUAAAUUGAAUCAGAAUCCUCUGGAAGUGGGACGCAGUGGGACUAAUUAUUUAUAAAAUGCUAUUUCUAAUGCAUAGCCAAGGUUGGAAGCUACUGUUAGAAACUCAUAAGUACCAUUAACAGUAGAGCAAGGUGCUUUAGGCUGCUGGUUUAUCCUUUAUACAUAAAGUUAGGAAUCAGUUCAAUGCUUUUAUAGUUCCAUUAAAAUACACUACUGUGUGCAAGCAUUUUUUGUGUUCUUCUGCAUUGUUGUGUGGUUAAGUUGUAAGUUCUGAGAGAAUAGUAUCUAGCACCACUGUAUGUAAAGAUGUACCUAAGCCAAAUUUCUGAGAAAUAAAAACUUCAUAGAGUCCUCUGAAACCUUGCUAUUCAGAAGUGUGGUAACCAGACAAGUAUAACUGGCAUAAACCAGGAACUUGUAAGAAAUGUAGAAUCUCAGACUCCACUCUGUACUCUCUAUAUUAAUGAGGUUCUUAGAUGUGUCAAUAGGUGAAGCAAAGGCAAUCUUUGCUCAGUUCACAUGUAUGUUUAGGGUCUGCUGUUCCCUGUCCUAAUCCUAAAAGGGUAGGAGGGCAUGAAGCAUCUGGUUCUGUCUUCCACAAACCACUGAAGAUUGGGACUUUAUCCCGAUGCUUCUUUCUCUAAAAGGGUUCAUUUGGUAAAAACUAAAUUAAGAACAUAAAUCCUCACAAAAGGAUCUUUUCUU